CCUACGGGAGGCAGCAGUGGGGAAUAUUGCACAAUGGAGGCAACCCUGAUGCAGCGACGCCGCGUGCAGGAUGAAGUCUUUCUGUGUGUAAAGCUCUAUCAGCAGGGAGGAAAAUGACGGUACCUGAGUACGCCUCCCCGGCUCACUCCGUGCCAGCAGCCGCGGUACUACGUAGGGUGCAAGCGUUAUCCGGAUUUACUGGGUGUAAAGGGAGCGUAGACGGCAUUACAAGUCUGGAGUGAAAUGCCGGGGCUCAACCCCGGAACUGCCUCGGAAACUGUGCGGCUGGAGUGCAGGAGAGGUAAGCGGAAUGUCUAGUGUAGCGGUGAAAUGCGUAGAGAUUAGGAGGAACACCAGUGGCGAAGGCGGCUUACUGGACUGUAACUGACGUUGAGGCUCGAAAGCGUGGGGAGCAAACAGGAUUAGAUACCCUUGUAGUC
rnacentral:rRNA from 1 species